AAGACUAUACUUUCAGGGAUCAUUUCUAUAGUUCGUUACUAGAGAAGUUUCUCUGACUGUGUAGAGUACCGGAAACCACGAGGAGGAGGUGUAGCGUUCUCUCCUGAGCAUGAAGCCGGCUCUUGGUGUUGCUUUUUUGCAAGUGCCAUUUGCCAUUGAUGAUCAUAAAAAAAAAAAAAAAAAUGACAGAAUGUUGGGGGCUGUAGAGGUGUCUUAGUGGU
rnacentral:snoRNA from 1 species